CUCCGUGGAUAUGGAAGUUGUUUUGGAUUGUUGUGUUGGAGGGCUUUGGGUUGUGGUGCUGGAUGGCAGCCGAUUUGUUGAUUUUAUUUUGACGAUGCAUAUUGUUUCCUAUUGGUGAUUUCUUCUCUAGCAGUUACGCUUUCUUGUAUUGUCUACUAUUAUCUUCUCCCAGUAAAAUUGAAUAGCAAUAUAACAUGUUCGUAAUCUUCAGCAGCCCAUUAAAUGUGUUAAGCUGGACGGGUGAACAGCAAUUAACAUGUUAAGGGACAACGAUCGAGUACUUCGAGAAAAGAGACAAAAGAAAGGGUAACAGAUUUCCUGAAAGGCUGGUGGCUUGCUCAAUGCCGUCUUUUGGAAUGGAUUUUGGCACGAGAAUCCCUGCCAAAAUUAUCAAUAUCUAUCAAAAUAAUUACAUGUUCACGUCUGAGAAGAUUUAAAUUCCCAGAGGUGGAUUUUGACCCGGCCAUUGAAGGUGGUUGCAGGUAAAAUUUGAAGUUAAAGCAGGCUUACAAUAUAUGGAAGACAGAUGGAAGAGUGUAUGAUUUGUCCUGUUAACCAUAAAUGUUGCCAAAUUCGCAAGCUCAUCUUACUAUGAAGUGGAAAAAGGUGUUAUUGCGGUUUUUAGGGCAGAAUAAUGUAUAUGUAGAUGCAUAAAUCUUAAGUAUCCCUGUUAAGCCUAGAUGUAAUGUUACCACCAAAUUAACAUGAUAUCUUUAUGAUAUAGCGUGCGGUAGAAAGACUAAAAGAGAUCCCUUGGCAAUUUCCAGCUUGAAAUAACCACAUUUAGACAAAAUGGGAUGGUCCUGCACCGGACCCACAAGAUUCCUUGAGCA